AACGAACGCUGGCGGCAGGCUUAACACAUGCAAGUCGAGCGCCCCGCAAGGGGAGCGGCAGACGGGUGAGUAACGCGUGGGAAUCUACCCAUCUCUACGGAAUAACGCAUGGAAACGUGUGCUAAUACCGUAUACGUCCUUCGGGAGAAAGAUUUAUCGGAGAUGGAUGAGCCCGCGUUGGAUUAGCUAGUUGGUGGGGUAAAGGCCUACCAAGGCGACGAUCCAUAGCUGGUCUGAGAGGAUGAUCAGCCACACUGGGACUGAGACACGGCCCAGACUCCUACGGGAGGCAGCAGUGGGGAAUAUUGAACAAGGGGCGCAAGCCUGAUCCAGCCAUGCCGCGUGAGUGAUGAAGGCCCUAGGGUUGUAAAGCUCUUUCACCGGUGAAGAUAAUGACGGUAACCGGAGAAGAAGCCCCGGCUAACUUCGUGCCAGCCGCCGCAGUAACAC
rnacentral:rRNA from 1 species